GCAAACUUGGUCAUUUAGAGGAAGUAAAAGUCGUAACAAGGUUUCCGUAGGUGAACCUGCGGAAGGAUCAUUAUUGAAUUAAUGGAUUUGGGUUGUUGCUGGCUUCUAAGGGAGCAUCUGUGCAUGCACUGUGCACACCCAUGUCCUUCUUUCUUUACACCCCGUGUGCACUUGUGUAGUUCCAAACACGUUUCAAACCAACAACCCAGCUUGGGGGGGCGGAUUUGGAAUAGAGAAAUUGCAGUGCAUUAUGACAUCCGUGUUAUGAUGGCCAUUCCUGCUUUUCUUGAUUUGGGUCUACGCUUUCUUAAACCUCAAUAAACAUCCAAUGUGCAAAAAAAAAAAAAGAACGGAAAUAUUGAAUGAAACAACUUUCAACAACGGAUCUCUAGGCUCUCGCAUCGAUGAAGAACGCAGC
rnacentral:misc_RNA from 1 species